ACGUAGGGAGCGAGCGUUGUCCGGAUUUACUGGGUGUAAAGGGUGCGUAGGCGGGCCCGCAAGUCAGACGUGAAAGCCACAGGCUCAACCUGUGAAUUGCGUUUGAAACUGUGGGUCUUGAGUGAAGUAGAGGUAGGCGGAAUUCCCGGUGUAGCGGUGAAAUGCGUAGAGAUCGGGAGGAACACCAGUGGCGAAGGCGGCCUACUGGGCUUUAACUGACGCUGAGGCACGAAAGCGUGGGUAGCAAACAG
rnacentral:rRNA from 1 species